rnacentral:rRNA from 1 species
CCCUUAGAUGUUCUGGGCCGCACGCGCGCUACACUGUUCGACGCAGCGAGUCUUAACCUUGACCGAAAGGUUUGGGUAAUCUUCAGCAAAGUCGAACGUGAUGGGGAUCGAUCAUUGCAAAUAUUAAUCUUGAACGAGGAAUUCCUAGUAAGCGCAAGUCAACAGCUUGCGUUGAUUACGUCCCUGCCCUUUGUACACACCGCCCGUCGCUACUACUGAUUGGAUGUUUAAGCGAGGUUCUCGAACUGCUAGCGACUUAGCUUCGGUGAGGUCGCAGUGUGGGAAGUGAACCUAGCUUUGGUGUCUAGAGGAAGUAAAAGUCGUAACA